rnacentral:rRNA from 1 species
AGCUCCAAUAGCGUAUAUUAAAGUUGUUGCGGUUAAAACGCUCGUAGUUGGAUCUGCGACUAUUUUGGAGGACGGUCCCCCGAAAGGGCGGUCACUGUUACUCCUGGUCUUUUUUUUAUUCGAGUUACAAAUUUCGCGUUAGGUGCUCUUCAUCGGGCGUCUAACGCGGCUCGAUAGUUUACUUUGAAAAAAUUAGAGUGCUCAAAGCAGGCGAUCUUCCGCCUGAAUAAAAUGCAUGGAAUAAUGGAAUAGGAUCUCGGUUCUAUUUUGUUGGUUUUCGGAGCCCGAGAUAAUGAUUAAGAGGAACAGACGGGGGCAUUCGUAUUCCGGCGCUAGAGGUGAAAUUCUUGGACCGCCGGAAGACGGACGACUGCGAAAGCAUUUGCCAAGAAUGUUUUCA